UACGGAGGAUGCGAGCGUUAUCCGGAUUUAUUGGGUUUAAAGGGUGCGUAGGCGGGCUUUUAAGUCAGCGGUAAAGAUUCGGGGCUCAACCCCGUCCGGCCGUUGAAACUGGGGGUCUUGAGUGAGCGAGAAGAAGGCGGAAUGCGUGGUGUAGCGGUGAAAUGCAUAGAUAUCACGCAGAACCCCGAUUGCGAAGGCAGCCUUCCGGCGCCCUACUGACGCUGAGGCACGAAAGUGCGGGGAUCGAACAGG
rnacentral:rRNA from 1 species